rnacentral:lncRNA from 1 species
GAAACAUUUUGAUAGGAAAAACAAUUUGUUAGGUCUGAAUGACUUCUUGGAAUAAAUAAAUUUUCCUCCUUUACCAGGAAUGACCAUCCAACUCACAGAAGCCAGUAUAAAGCCAGCUACAGCUGCCCUAAGCUAUUCAAGUAGAAAUAAAAUGGCCUUGAACACUCCACAUGCUGGUGAAAACCUUCCUGCUCAUUCCAGAAAAUGCUGAUACUGGCCAUGGCUGGGGAAAAGACACCUAACUGGGCACAUGGUACCUCCUCUGAGGCCAUUCUUACCCUGCACAUAAGGAAAGAGCAUUCCCCAUGGCUACACACACAGACAUCAGAUUUAAAAAUAGCCAAGUUCCACCUCGACUGUGGGUGAGUGAAAGACAGAAGACAGAUGCAUUGGCUGCCAGCUAGA